UUUGCAUUGAGGUUGCCACACUCUCCAAGGAGCUGAAUUGUUUAGCCUUCGGGUCCUGCUGACUCCCAGGCGGCUUGCAGAGGAAGCGUAGAGGGGGCCCGGGAUUGGUGGACAGAGGGGGUGUGUGAGGGGAGUCUACAGUGCUUUGUUGGAGACACAUCCACCAACUUCGCUAAUAGCACCCACAGAGGAUGGCUGAGCAAACAGCCAAACGCUUUCUAGGAAAGGCAGAAAACCUUCCCAAACAACUAUCAUCCAUUGACUGGCUGUUAAAGCGUCACUUUUCUUAAAUUGAGCAUUGUAUAUAAGGCCAUGUUCUCAUCUCCUACUUUAUCCAAUAGUUUAUACCUUGCUGUUUUUUAUUUGAUGUAAAAAAACAACAACAUAUGCUAUACAGAGCAACUUAAUUAUUGGUUUGUCCCAAGUCUGUAAAGUAUGAGGAUAAUAAAUUCAUACUUUAUGAAGAUAAAUAAGUUUGUAUGGCUCCCUCAGAAAAUAAAAGUUACAGCUUCCAGAAGUGCAUAUUGUAUGAAAGGUGUGUCCUCUAUUAUAAAUAUCAGAUCAGCAUUAUAUGUAAAAUACAAAAAACAUCUGAAUUGGAACACAAAGACGUGAAGUUAACCUCUGUCUGUCUGUCCGUCCGUCCGUCUGUCUGUCUGUCUCUCUCUCUUUCUGUCUGUCCGUCCGUCUGUCUGUCUCUCUGUCUAUAUGUAUGGUGGUUGGGGUCGUACUUAGCCGCAGCGUUGGCGACGAGGACAGGUCGUCUCCGGUUGACGUGCUGCUUGGACAACUCCUCAAGAGUCAUGACCUUAUCCCCCGGACGAACCUAGUGCCGAGGCAGGAGAACACGGUUUGGGAAAGGUAUACCGCAAAGUGUCAUUCACACGCACCGGGCCGGCAUCGUAGAAGCCAUCUGUGGUGAUGUCUGUGGAGGCCAGGCGUCCCGUCACACAGUAUUUAACUGACAGGUUGGAGGCCAAUAGCCUGAACAUCGCCAUCUCGCUGAAUCGGUUCCUGCGGUUCGGGGAUUCAUUGAUCUCCUGGAGCGAUUCCAACGCCCUGAGGAACGCCACAGAAACGAGCAGUUUCUAAGCUGUUCUCGAUUCUGUCAACACUUACAAUCUUUGGGAUAGAGCACAGAUGCAAUCACUCUUGUGCCAUCUGCUGGUCGGGCACGAGCACGUGGUCUUACCCUAGCUUGCAGAGCUCCACUGACGUGGCCUCCUCAUUGGCGCAGACGCUGAUGGCCCAGCAGGCAUUGCUACGGACCUCCUUGUGACGUGAGCUAAGGAGGCGGACAAGUGGAGGCAGACCUCCUGCCUUUCGGAACUAGCCUCAGAGCAGCUUACAGCUCCGUGCCACCAUGGCGAUGCAGGUGGCAGCGCUGGUCUGGACCUCCGGCAGCGCGGGGGCAGGUGAGAGGGCGACGAGCUGGAUCAGCCGGCUGAGGCCUCCGGUCUGGUGGACCAGCAGCAGGCUCUCCCGGUCUGCCACGCAGUUGGACACCACCCUGAGGGCCUCCACGUGAAGGUCACUCAGGUCCUGGAGGAGCAACAUGGAGAAACAUGAGCCCUGCACCUCUCUGAAGGCUGCGCGUGCGUCACGGUCGAGGGUGAGUCUCUCCAGGAUUCUAAGGGCCAGCAGCUGGAUGACCGGGAACUCUGACCUCACCAGGGCCAACAGUGGGGGGACCCCCCCCAGCUCUCCCAGGGCCGCACGGUUCAGGGCGAUCUCCAGAGUGUUCUUGGUGACAUCUGGAUCGGGACCAGAGAGGAGCCGGAUCAGAGAUGGCAGCCCCUUGUUCUCGGUGAUCUGGACCUUACAGACGAAGUCCACCGACAAUGUUGAAAGGCAGAGAGUGGCAAACUCAUGGACCACGGUCUCCUCUGUAGCAGGAGCAGAGUGGGUUCCAAUAAGAGAGCAGGAUAUGAAAAGGAAUGCAUCAAAUAACAUGGCACAGUGGAAGUAUUGGUCUUCGCUUAACCUCUACACCACCAGCAAUUGGACAAUUCAUUAUUCAGAUGGUCAGCCGGUUGGAAUAGCUCAAAGUCAUGACUUACCCUCAGGCAACAGUUUUUCAAUGACUGAUGGUAUUACAUCAAGUUUCUUUAGAGCAAUUUUCACAUCAACUGCCAAAGGAAAUAGAGACAAAGGGAGCCACAUUGGAACACAUUGCUGUUGGGUAAACCGAACAAUUUCUCAGCCUAUUAGAAAAAAUAAAAUGUAUGAUAGUGAACAAGUAAGAGUGGGCAACUAAAAAUAUAAUCAGAUUAUGUGUGUUUUGUAUGUUUCUUGUACAUUUAUGUUACACACUAUGUGGCAACAUAUUCUUUUACUUAGUUAAUCACACAGGAGACCACAUUGGCUCACACACACCAUUGGCCGCCAUCAUGCCCACAGCCAUGAUGGCAUUGCGUCGAACCCUUUUGUCUUCGUGGUUAAUGUGCUGGCAGAGAGGCGGCAGAGCCCCGAGCCCAAGCAGUGACGACUUGUUCUCCUCUCCUGGCGAUAGGGGGAGACAUUGAGCAGGAAGAAAUGACCACGGUCCCUUGACAAGCAUUUUAUAUGUGCAUUCUGUUUCUGUGCAUGCUGUGUGUUUGUGUGUCUGUAUGUGUGAGUCAUAUAAAUAUAUAUAUACUGUGGAAUGUGCCUUGCGUAUUUAUUUAAAAUAUAAAAAUGUAGUUUCUGAAGAGAAAACCACAACCUGGCGAUCCGACACAUUCAUCAAUUAAUUCAUUAAUUCAGCCCUUGUCCUACCUUUC